rnacentral:rRNA from 1 species
UACGGAGGGUGCAAACGUUGCUCGGAAUCAUUGGGCGUAAAGCGCGUGUAGGCGGCUCGGUAAGUCGGAUGUGAAAGCCCUGGGCUCAACCUAGGAAGUGCAUUCGAAACUUCCGAGCUGGAGUGCUGGAGAGGAAGGCGGAAUUCUCGGUGUAGAGGUGAAAUUCGUAGAUAUCGAGAGGAACACCGGUGGCGAAGGCGGCCUUCUGGACAGCGACUGACGCUGAGACGCGAAAGCGUGGGGAGCAAACAGG